UUAGUUGGUUUGAACACUUUGUAAGUUACAUAAUAUCUAAUCACUGAGGUAUUCACCUGAAACUAAUGUAAUAAUGUAUGUCAACUGUAAUUAAAAAAUAAAAAUGAUUUAAAAUGAAA